GACUCCAUAGUGUAGUGGUUAGCACAUCUGCUUUACAUGCAGAAGGUCCUGGGUUCGCGCCCCAGGUGGAGCCA
rnacentral:tRNA from 1 species